GAAAUACUCCCUCCGUCCCAAAAUUCUUGUCUUAGAUUUGUCUAGAUACGGAUGUAUCUAAUACUAAAACGUGACUUGAUACAUCCGUAUUUAGACAAAUUCAAGACAAGAAUUUUGGGACGGAGGGAGUAUUAA
rnacentral:pre_miRNA from 1 species